rnacentral:rRNA from 1 species
CCUACGGGAGGCAGCAGUGGGGAAUAUUGGACAAUGGGGGGAACCCUGAUCCAGCCAUGCCGCGUGUGUGAAGAAGGCCCUCGGGUUGUAAAGCACUUUCAGUGAGGAAGAACGCCUGGUGGUUAAUACCCAUCAGGAAAGACAUCACUCACAGAAGAAGCACCGGCUAACUCCGUGCCAGCAGCCGCGGUAAUACGGAGGGUGCGAGCGUUAAUCGGAAUUGCUGGGCGUAAAGCGCGCGUAGGUGGCUUGAUAAGCCGGUUGUGAAAGCCCCGGGCUCAACCUGGGAACGGCAUCCGGAACUGUCAAGCUAGAGUGCAGGAGAGGAAGGUAGAAUUCCCGGUGUAGCGGUGAAAUGCGUAGAGAUCGGGAGGAAUACCAGUGGCGAAGGCGGCCUUCUGGACUGACACUGACACUGAGGUGCGAAAGCGUGGGUAGCAAACAGGAUUAGAUACCCUAGUAGUC